AAGAAAGUAGAUAAGGGCGUACGGGGGAUGCCUAGGCUCUCAGAGGCGAUGAAAGACGUGAUAAGCUGCGAUAAGCUACGGGGAAGUGCAAAUAACUGUUAAUCCGUAGAUUUCUGAAUGGGACAACCCACUAUGUUGAAGACAUAGUAUCCAGCAAUGGAGGCAAACCCGGGGAACUGAAACAUCUAAGUACCCGGAGGAAGAGAAAACAAAAGUGAUUUCCUAAGUAGCGGCGAGCGAACGGGAAUUAGCCCAAACCAUUAAUGUUUAGGCAUUAAUGGGGUUGUAGGACUUGCAUAAUCAAAUGUAUUAGAAGUGGAAUGCUUUGGAAAGAGCAACCAGAGACGGUGAUAGUCCGGUACACGUAAUAAGACAAGCGAGGCGAGUAUCCUGAGUAGCGCGGGACACGAGAAAUCCUGUGUGAAUCUGGCGGGACCAUCCGCUAAGGCUAAAUACUCCUGAGAGACCGAUAGAGAACCAGUACCGUGAGGGAAAGGUGAAAAGCACUUCGAACAGAAGAGUGAAAAAGUACCUGAAACCGUGCGCCUACAAGCGGUUGGAGCGGAUUUAAUCCGUGACAGCGUGCCUUUUGCAUAAUGAGCCUACGAGUUAGUCGUAGCUAGCCAGGUUAAGACUUUAAGGGUCGGAGCCGAAGCGAAAGCGAGUCUGAAUAGGGCGAUAUAGUUAGCUGCGCUAGACGCGAAACCGUGUGAUCUACCCAUGAUCAGGUUGAAGCUGUGGUAACACACAGUGGAGGACCGAACCAGUUGACGUUGAAAAGUCUUUGGAUGAAUUGUGGGUAGGGGUGAAAGGCCAAUCAAACUCGGAAAUAGCUCGUACUCCCCGAAAUGCAUUUAGGUGCAGCCUAUGAUUAAUCUUACAGAGGUAGAGCUACUGAUAGGACGCGAGGGUUUCAUCGCCUAUCAACUCCUGAUAAACUCCGAAUGCUGUAAGAUGAUGUCAUGGAGUGAGGGCAUGGGUGCUAAGGUCCAUGUCCGAAAGGGAAAGAACCCGGACCAUCAGCUAAGGUCCCCAAAUGUAUGUUAAGUUGACCAAACGCGGUGUUGUUGCUUAGACAGCUAGGAUGUUGGCUUGGAAGCAGCCAUUCAUUUAAAGAGUGCGUAACAGCUCACUAGUCGAGCGACGAUGCAUGGAUAAUAAUCGGGCAUAAACAUACUACCGAAGCUAUGGAUUGAACUUUAAGUUCAGUGGUAGGGGAGCAUUCCAAACUGGGUUGAAGCUGAAGAUGUGAGUCACAGUGGACUGUUUGGAAAAGCAAAUGUAGGCAUAAGUAACGAUAAUGGGGGUGAGAAACCUCCACGCCGAAAGACCAAGGUUUCCUGAUCAACGCUAAUCGGAUCAGGGUUAGUCGGGACCUAACGCGAACCCGAAAGGGGUAGUGGAUGGCAAGCAGGUUAAUAUUCCUGCACCUGUCUUACAAUAAAAGUGACGGAUCGACCAGAUGCUUACGUACUGACGGAAUAGUACGUUGAGCCUAGUCUACGGACGAAGCGAAAGUAAGUAAUCGGUUCCAAGAAAAGCGAGUAAGACGGCUCGUACCGUAAACGGACACACGUAGUUGGGUUGAGUAUACUAAGGCGCUCGAGUGAUUCAUGGCUAAGGAACUAGGCAAAUUAACUCCGUAACUUCGGGAGAAGGAGUGCUCACAGUGAUGUGAGCCGCAGAGAAAUGGCCCAGGCGACUGUUUAUCAAAAACACAUGGCUUUGCUAAAUCGAAAGAUGAUGUAUAAGGCCUGACACCUGCCCGGUGCCGGAAGGUUAAGUGGAGAUGUUAACUUCGGUGAAGCAUUGAAAUGAAGCCCCGGUAAACGGCGGCCGUAACUAUAACGGUCCUAAGGUAGCGAAAUUCCUUGUCGGGUAAGUUCCGACCUGCACGAAUGGUGCAACGAUCUGGGCACUGUCUCAGCCAUGAGCUCGGUGAAAUUGUAGUUCCGGUGAAGAUGCCGGAUACCCGCAACGGGACGGAAAGACCCCGUGAACCUUUACUGCAGCUUAACGUUGGUUUUGGGUAAGUAAUGUGUAGGAUAGGACGGAGACAAUGAAGUGGCGUCGCCAGGCGUUGUGGAGUCAUCCUUGAAAUACGUCCCUUUGCUUAUCUGGAGCCUAACCCAUUUAUGGGGACACCGUUUGGUGGGUAGUUUGACUGGGGUGGUCGCCUCCAAAAGAGUAACGGAGGCUUCUAAAGGUGCGCUCAAGACGAUUGGUAACCGUCUGUAGAGUAUAAUGGUAUAAGCGCGCUUGACUGUGAGGCCUACAAGCCGAGCAGGUACGAAAGUAGAGCAUAGUGAUCCGGUGGUUCCGCAUGGAAGGGCCAUCGCUCAAAGGAUAAAAGGUACUCCGGGGAUAACAGGCUGAUCGCUCCCAAGAGCUCAUAUCGACGGAGCGGUUUGGCACCUCGAUGUCGGCUCGUCACAUCCUGGGGCUGGAGAAGGUCCCAAGGGUUGGGCUGUUCGCCCAUUAAAGUGGCACGCGAGCUGGGUUCAGAACGUCGUGAGACAGUUCGGUCCCUAUCUGUUGUGGGCGUAGGAAAUUUGAGAAGGCCUGACGUUAGUACGAGAGGACCGCGUUGGACAUACCUCUGGUGCACCAGUUGUUCCGCCAGGAGCAUUGCUGGGUAGCUAAGUAUGGAAGGGAUAAGUGCUGAAAGCAUCUAAGCACGAAGCCUGCUUCAAGAUGAGAUUUCCAUUAAGGGACGUUAGAGACGAUGACGUUGAUAGGCUGUAGGUGUAAGUGUGGUGACAUACGUAGCCGAGCAGUACUAAUUACCCGAAGCUUUCAAGA
rnacentral:rRNA from 1 species